GCUGGGCACAGUGGCAGGCGCUUGUAAUCCCAGCUACUAGGGAGGCUGAGACAGCAGAAUUGCUUGAACCCAACAGGUGGAAGUUGCAGUGAGCCAAGAUUGUUCCACUGCACUCCAGCCUGGGCGACAGNNNNNNNNNNCCCAGGCUGGAGUGCAGUGGAACAAUCUUGGCUCACUGCAACUUCCACCUGUUGGGUUCAAGCAAUUCUGCUGUCUCAG
rnacentral:SRP_RNA from 1 species